GCAUUGGUGGUUCAGUGGUAGAAUGCUCGCCUGCCAUGCGGGUGGCUCAGGCUCGUUUCUCGGCUGGUGCA
rnacentral:tRNA from 1 species